UGCAAACAUAGCUGUCAGUCGCUUUGGAUAAAAGUGUCUGCUAAAUGGCUCAUA
rfam:Salmo salar isolate Sally breed double haploid chromosome ssa10, whole genome shotgun sequence.